rnacentral:rRNA from 1 species
GACAGAGGGGGCAAGCGUUUUCCGGAGUUACUGGGCGUAAAGGGCGCGGAGGCGGUCUGCGGCGUCGGCGCUGAAAGCGCCCCGCUUAACGGGGCGAGGCGUGCCGAUACGCGCAGACUUGAGGCGAGCAGAGGGUGGUGGAAUUCCGGGUGGAGCGGUGAAAUGCGUAGAGAUCCGGAGGAACGCCAGUGGGGAAGCCGGCCACCUGGGCUCGUCCUGACGCUGCGGCGCGACCGCGUGGGGAGCAAACCGG